AAAGAAGAACAUGCGUUUCAAGGUGUCAUGGAUUUUAAAGACCAUGGGUUUACUUAAAACUUAUGAGUUUUUAAAAAAAAUYUUUAAAAGGAAGUGACUAAAAAAGCUUUUCUAGUGAUUUAARAUGAUACCGGGGAAGGUUUUCCGGUUUAUCCCGGAGGGCUUGUAGCUCAGUUGGUUAGAGCGCGCGCUUGAUAAGCGUGAGGUCGGAGGUUCAAGUCCUCCCAGGCCCACCAAUUUAGGAUUGCUUAACCCACUAAAGACCCUCUCUAUAARAAAAAUAUCUCUCGUUAGAGAAAGCUCUUUAUAGUCUGGCUCUUUAUAGUCUUUUAUUGUCAAUAAAAUGUUCGGUGAAAUAUCAAAUGUGUUUUGCGAAAAUACUGACAAUAAUAAAGCUUUUGAAUAAGGCUUUUGACAAUAUAAAACUACUGACAGACUGUCGCUUUAAGGGUUUUGAAACGUUUUCUUUUAGGGGCCGUAGCUCAGCUGGGAGAGCACCUGCUUUGCAAGCAGGGG
rnacentral:misc_RNA from 1 species